rnacentral:rRNA from 1 species
UACGGAGGGAGCUAGCGUUGUUCGGAAUUACUGGGCGUAAAGCGCGCGUAGGCGGCUUUGUAAGUUAGAGGUGAAAGCCUGGAGCUCAACUUCAGAAUUGCCUUUAAGACUGCAUCGCUUGAAUCCGGGAGAGGUGAGUGGAAUUCCGGGUGUAGAGGUGAAAUUCGUAGAUAUUCGGAAGAACACCAGUGGCGAAGGCGGCUCACUGGACCGGCAUUGACGCUGAGGUGCGAAAGCGUGGGGAGCAAACAGG